rnacentral:lncRNA from 1 species
AGAGAGAGAGAGAGAGAGAGAGAGUAGGGCUGCUGUGCUCUCAGGAGCACGGAGGCCUCCGUGCUCCUGAGUCGUUUUCGAUGAUGGAGUUUUCGAAUCGACGAUCGGCUCCGUUAAACUUGAUCUAGCGUAUUUAAAGUUUUUAGAAAAUAAUUUUUUUGAUUUUUCGAUAUCAUUUACCUAGUGAUCGAAAGGAUUCAAAAUCAAUAAUUUUUAACGGCUGAAAAUAAAAAUCCUAUAAAAAGUGGUGAUAUAGUACUAAAAUUUUCGAUCAGAAAUAUAGAUCUUGUUGUAAAUGGUAUAAAGAAUUUUCUAUCAAAAUUUCAUCUGAUUUGAAUACUUUUACACUGUUAAACUUGAAAACGGCAGAUAUCAACCAUUAAAAAUUAUGGAUUUUGAAUCAUUUUGAUCACUGGAUAAAUGAUAUCGAAAAAUCGCAAAAAUUAUUUUCUAGAAACUUCAAAUGCGCUAGAUCAAGUCUAACGGAGCCGAUCGUCGAUUCGAAAAUUCCAUCAUCAAAAACGGCGCAGGAGCACGGAGGCCUCCGUGCUCCUGAGAGCACAGCAGCCCUGCUCUAUAGAUAUAUAUACAUAUUUAUAUAUAUAUAUAUAUAUAGAGGAUAAAUUGCAUUGUUACUCUAAAUUUUUGGUGAAGUUUUACUUUAUCCCUCGAACUUCUAAAAUGGACAUCUAACCUUCUAAACUCUAAUAUUUCGUUCAUAUUACCCCUUCUGUUAGUUUUCCGUCAAGCUCCGUUAACUGGAAACUGACGGAAGGGAUAAAACGAAUGAAAUAUUAGAGUUUAGGAUGUUAGAUGUCUAUUUUAGGAGUCUGGGGGAUUAAGUGAAACUCGCCAAAAGUUCAAGAGGUAACAAUACAAUUUAUCCAAAUUUUUACUAUAAAUUAUUUUUAUAUUUUUAUAUUAAAAAUUUCUAAUUGGUUGAAAUGAAGUACAAAAAUUUUAUUUAAGUGUAUUUUAUAGAAUAAUGUUUCUAAAGAUAAAAGGGACAAACGAGUACUACAGAAAAUUAACUGAGAAUUAAAAUCUCUAUAUCCGAAUAAGGACACCUACUGUAAAUCAACCAUAUUAGAGAGUACAUUAGGAUAGUAAAGUGUUCAAGCAUCGUAGGUAGUUAGUAUCGCUCUUUUUUUAUCUUUAAGCCACUCUAAUUUAUUUCUUUCACUUUUAUUUUAUUACAAUAAAAUGUAUGAUAAAUUAUUGUAUGAUUUAUUUUAUGAUAAAAAAUAUAUAUAAAUUCAAAAUCAAGCAUGAUCAUUAACUUGAGGAUUAGUAGUCAAUCCAUAAGUAACAUAUUAUAAUAAAAUAUAUUAUAGUCAAGAGUCCCUUACGGAGUAAAUUGCACUACU